GGAGAGAUUCCCGAGUGGCUAAAGGGAGCAGACUGUAAAUCUGCCGGCUUCGCCUUCGCUGGUUCGAAUCCAGCUCUCUCCACCA
rnacentral:tRNA from 2 species